rnacentral:lncRNA from 1 species
UGGGUUUAUUUUGGCUCGGAAGCCAGUAAGGAACCUGUCCAGGAGCUAAUUCUGCCUUUCCUAAGGAACCAUCACUGGCUGGAGCCCAAGAGCAGAGUACAGGCUAUGCUGUGCCCUGAGAAGAGAUGAGUACAUGCGCCCAGCCCAUGGAGUACGUUGCAGGGCGCCUGCUGGCUGCCUAUACAUAGCACUAGGACCUGAGCAGGGCUUCUCCCCCCCCACCCCCAACAGGGAGGAACGUUGCCUAAGGCUCUUGGUAGAGCCUCCCACUUUACUGGAGAAGCUUGGUAAGGGAGUGGCAAAGGGUCCAACUCCUCUGCUGAGUUCUCUGUCGCAGUCACAUUAACCCAGUCUACUUCCUUCACCCCACGGAUGUUGUUCCCAAGAGCUCCUCACGCCUCCUACAUGAGCAUCCCCAUCUCGGGAACUGUUUCCAGGGAAACGAACACAAGGCAAACCAGUCUUUCAUAACUGCUAUGUCUGCUCUACGUCAAUACCACUAGGGUCCCGUGGGAAGAGUGAGCUAGCCUGGAAACCCCUAUGCUUGUCAUCUUGCACCACACUGGGAGCAGCUCACACCAUCCGGAAACUCUUCCCUAUUUCAAAGCUGGAAUUCCUCCUUCCUUAAUGCGUCCCCCACUUCCUUUCCCCUUUUCCUCAUGUGGCUGUGUUCUUGCCAGCAAAGAAAGUUGAAAAGGAACAAAGGCAUAUGGUUUUCCUAUUAAGACUGACGCCCACGUGUGAGGGGAGCCAGAGGGAAGUGUUCAAAUAAGGGCAACGGAAAUACAUUUAUGUGACACUCAUUUUAUAGGCUGUUUUUUUUUUUUUUAAAAAGCUUGUCCAAAACAAUGAGAUUCUCCUUUGUCCCACUUAUUACAUGUUUGGGAUAUUU